GACGAACGCUGGCGGCAGGCCUAACACAUGCAAGUCGAACGCUCCGCAAGGGGAGUGGCAGACGGGUGAGUAACACGUGGGAAUCUUCCUAUCGGUACGGAAUAGCUCAGGGAAACUUGGGGUAAUACCGCAUACGCCCGAAAGGGGAAAGAUUUAUCGCCGAUAGAUGAGCCCGCGUCUGAUUAGCUAGUUGGUGAGGUAAUGGCUCACCAAGGCGACGAUCAGUAGCUGGCUGAGAGGAUGACCAGCCACACUGGGACUGAGACACGGCCCAGACUCCUACGGGAGGCAGCAGUGGGGAAUAUUGGACAAUGGGCGCAAGCCUGAUCCAGCCAUGCCGCGUGAGUGACGAAGGUCUUCGGAUUGUAAAGCUCUUUUGCCAGGGACGAUAAUGACGGUACCUGGAGAAUAAGCCCCGGCUAACUUCGUGCCAGCCGCCGCCGUAAC
rnacentral:rRNA from 1 species